CGACAGACUAAAAACUCCAAAGCUAUCUAUCUAUAUAUAUAUUUUUUCCUUUCGUUAAAAAAAGAGAACAAUGUAGUAUGUGGACCGUUCAUCCUAACAGCUACUCAAGCCCUGAGAGGUAAUAGUAUUAACUAAGAGCCUCCACUCGCUUGUAACGUCGGAGACAGCAUCCCGCUGUGCUGCUGUAGGAGAUGCUAAAGGAAAAAAAGACAAAGGGAUGCGGAGAAUAUUAAUCGGGGGACGGUGGGGAUACGGUCCCUUAAUGUCUCCCCGCUGGCGUGACGUCAGGUCCCAGUUGAAAAGGGACUAGAUCCCUCCCUCAUCCGAGUGUUUAAAUUGAAAUGCAAGUAUCCAUGAAGAGAAGUAAGAACAUUAAGGGAUUGUAUACAUGUCGAAAAUUCUGUCCAUCAGUUGCAAGAGGUUGCAGAGGCUUAUGCUGUAUAUACUAACAGAUAUUAGAUUGGCCAGUCACGUCAUGCGCCAAUGUCGGAUUGAAACUGCUAAAUUUGCAAUGUCCACUAAGUCUUCUAAAAUGGUUCAUUCACAUAAUUGAUUCCGUUGGCCUCUCUCUAAUUUUUUUUAUUUUUUAUUUUAUUCCCUUAUCGAUUUUUCGGGAGGGAUUUUAAAAGGAUAAGUCCAUUUAACAGAUUCGCCUCCACAACAUAAAUGCAAUUAUGCAGGGGACGAUAACGACUCGACGUAAGACGUCUCGAAUAUUGUAAAAUGUGUGUGUGCAUGUGUAUGUGCCAGACCAUCCCAAUGGGGCUUGUUGGCCGCGGAAGAACAUCUGUACUAUUUUAGAAGAUUUAAGGAGCAGGUAGAGUAUUGUGUAGAACCCCGGUAGCUUGGGGGCUGGCGAGACAAUGAAUGUAUGUCAAAAUGUGUGGGAAAAUGUUAUCUCACUCCCGUGCUGAACAACUUUCUAUUGGCGAGAGGGAUUUUCCUCACACGUUCUCUCAUUAGACACACAGUAGCAUUUGGGACAAGUCUUAUUUGGCAGUCUCUCUUUCUUAAUCUUUGUGCCCUUCGCAUUAUUGUUUGUGGUGAAAAGGUUUCCUUAAUCCAUACUUCAAUACUGGAGAUAUGCCAAUGUUAGAAAUGUAGGAAAUAAAUUAUCUCAGUUUAGAAUUGGUUUUCUAAUAUAGACAUAUUAAAGAAGUUAUGGAGAUAUUCGAUCGAUAUCCAACCAUCAUGUCUUCCACAGCUGGAUAUUUAUUUGGUUGAUGAUGUGGCUCUAUAGGUUUUCUCUUUACGAUCAGUAAAUCUUAUAUUGUACAGAAGAAAAAAUCAAAUGCCUUUAACUAAGAAUUUGCAAUGCCAAGCGAAAGGAACAAGCCAAGGGUCGACAGACAAAGGAUUUUUUUUUUUUUUUUCAUUCGGAGCCCCUCUGUACGCUUUGUGAUUUUGAUCAAGGACCAUUUCCUCGCUAUUCUGUGCGUGGCACGCAGAGAUGACGAACUUACAGAAAUUUGAUUCAAUGCGGAAGAAAAUGUGGAAAGUUUGUUUCUAUAUUGCUGGAUUGUAUCCCUAGUAAUUAUUUGAAGGCCGGCCUAACGUCGCAUAUUGUUUUAUUAUAAGAGCAAAGCCCUCUUCGAUAACAAGAAGAAAAGACUAUAUACCCC
rnacentral:lncRNA from 1 species